rnacentral:rRNA from 1 species
GACGAACGCUGGCGGCGUGCUUAACACAUGCAAGUCGAACGGAAAGGCCCUGCUUUUGUGGGGUGCUCGAGUGGCGAACGGGUGAGUAACACGUGAGUAACCUGCCCUUGACUUUGGGAUAACUUCAGGAAACUGGGGCUAAUACCGGAUAGGAGCUCCUGCUGCAUGGUGGGGGUUGGAAAGUUUCGGCGGUUGGGGAUGGACUCGCGGCUUAUCAGCUUGUUGGUGGGGUAGUGGCUUACCAAGGCUUUGACGGGUAGCCGGCCUGAGAGGGUGACCGGCCACAUUGGGACUGAGAUACGGCGCAGACUCCUACGGGAGGCAGCAGUGGGGAAUAUUGCCCAAUGGGCGGAAGCCUGAUGCAGCAACGCCGCGUGCGGGAUGACGGCCUUCGGGUUGUAAACCGCUUUCGCCUGUGACGAAGCGUGAGUGACGGUAAUGGGUAAAGAAGCACCGGCUAACUACGUG